UCUUUCAUGCCUCCCUAUGAGAAACUACACCAGAGGGAACAAGCCUAUAUUGGGAGUGGCUUCCUCAUGGUAUUCAGACGGUGGCUGUGGGGAAGCAGUAACUUGAAAUAGAAGAGUCUCUGGUUAACAUGCUGAGGAACUAGUCCAGAAUGGAUGUGAGAACACAUUCAGAGCCUCCUCUCCUAUACUGGCUGGCAGACUCAACAGGCUGCAGUAGACUUAGGUCUUUAAUUCCUCUGGAGAGGAUGUAACUUCUGGAGGAACUGGAUUUUGACAUCCCCACCACACUGCUCGCCCCUUUCCUCCAGGGAAGGAAGACAGCAGCAAGCACCACUCAGCUCAAGCGUAAAGGGUCAUCUGAUACAAGAAAGGGAAAUGCAUGAAGUUGCAGCAUCUUGGGGAACUGUGCACCAAUGGCCAUGGGCUCAGCAGGGGAUAAUAUCUGAGCAGCAUGUUGGUUUUGAGAAGUCUUACUGCAUAACAGCAUAUCUCUGAGUGGAGAGAGGGACUAUCUGCACUUUUUUUGACUUGAGUCUUUCUCCAUAUAUAUCUGGCUAUAGUCGAGGUUGGGAGUGAGAUAUAUGGGAGAGGGAAUCAACAUUAAACAACACAGCUUUAGGAUAGCUUCAAAAGAUGCCUGACUGCCUCAUCUCUCCUUUCUAUACUGUAUGACUUGUCAAUGUGUUUGCAGAAGGGGCUUGGACCUGCUGCAUAACACACUCUAAAUCAGGAUGCCUUAGCAAGAACCUGCAAGAAGUUUUUUCAGAGCAGGAGAGUCUGUGUUUGAUAGCAGACAGCAGGGUUGACCUGCCCUGGGUCUCAGGCCUUUUUUUCCUGACUGUGCUUCUCAGAAAACAAGAUUUAAAAGAUGCUUUUUGGUGCCAAACCACAUGGAGGGUCCAUUUAAAUGGGUUCUGUGACUUAUCCCAGCUGCCUGGAGCAGCGGCUUCUGAAUCCUGCUUCCCAUAUUGCCUCGGAAGUGCCGGACUCUUAAAAUGAACAGAGCUCAUUUAUGGAUCUUCAGCGCUGGCUUUGCGGGGGAAGAGGGAGGGGGCUGCCUCUCCAGAAAGGUUGCUGUCCAAGAGGCUGGGAACGGAAGCAGGUUCACUGUGGUGUGAACAAAGGCCUGCAGGCACACCAGAGAGCAUCUGCUCGCCAGCUGAUGGUAGUGCACCUGCUGAACAAGUGCAGCCGUGCUGCUCCCCUCCCCAGUCCUGCUCGCUUUGACCCAAGGCCAGGCUCCCCAUCCUUCCCUGUCCUAACCCUGCUGAACACCAGUCCCAGCAGAGCACCUGGCAGGAGGCAAAGCAGCUGUGGGGGCUCUGUUGUCAGCGAUGCGACAAUGGGGUGAGAAGCUGCUCUAGCACAGGGAUACAUUUUUCGGAUAUUUGCCCUGAUGAAGAGGUUUUACCUGAGCAUUGGUUAAAGCUUCUGCACUCAUUCUGAAGCCUAGACCUCAACCCCACAGUGUCAGAUGGUGGCUGCCUAUUAACUGUUUGCAACAUUCCUCCUGUGACUUGGUCACCAGGCCUGGCAUCAAAAGGGUGAUUUUGAGCUGAAGAAAACUCUUUUGUGGGUUCUGUGCUAACAGUGACUGAAAUUUGCUACUGGUUCUUUUCAACCAUAUCCACCGAACCAUAACUCACUACUGCAUACAAGUUCAGCAGGAACAUUCCCAAAACCCCCGUAGAAGAAAUUUACGGUUGCUCAAUGCUAUGUUACUGGCGGCCACAACUGUGUGCACUCCACAUGUCUUUGUAAUCACUUAAUGACUCAUUUCCUUAAUCUCUCAUUUCCUAUAGCCUUAUUACAAGCAAUUCAUAAACCCAGAUCCAUAGCUGUUCUCUGGCUGUAGUCAGGAAGCACUGAACCGACUCUGCAUCUGGUUGGUUGGCCGAAGUACCCCUCUCUAUUCCCCUCUGAAACUUUCCACUGGACCCUGUCUUUUGCUGCAGUGACACCUACUGAUGAGGUAAGAGUGUAUUAACUACACGUUCCCUUGUUGCCAAACCCAGCCAGCAACCACUUCCUGGCUCUAGCCAGAUGUUUCUGCUCUUCUGGAGCAAAUUUCACACUACACCGGGAGAAGUUUUGCACGCUUUUGACUUUAAUGCGUCGGUGGCCAGCGGACCUGAACAGAGAUCAGUGCAGCAGGAGGAAAUGACUCUUCAUGUCCAGGUUUUCCCAUUCAGCCCUGAGUGAGCCAUCAACCAGCUGAUGGCCUUAGAAAGCAAGACUUGCAGGAAGGCGUUCCCUGGCGUGUUGUGUGGCAUUGUCAUGGAAAGCAUCAGGAAGAACAGCCAGCAGUCCUUUAGUUUCCUCUACAGGUUCCUUUUUGUGAAGAAACAACUACUUCCAGGAAACUCAUACCUUUGAUGCCUCCACAUAACACUUGUGAUGACUAGAAUAUGGGGAUUGAUUAUGAAAUCAGCCUGAGCUCCACUGCUAGAUGCAACCAAUGUCAAGGAUAUCUUUUUUAGUGAAAAGCAUUUUCCUUUCAAACCCCAGUCUCUUAUAUAAACAAUUCUUUGUAAAAUUUCAUCUUAAGUCAAAACACUACAAAAAUGACCUGUAGAACCUGAAGAAGAGAUGGGAUAAGGUCAGUACUCCAGCUGUGUGAGAAAAGAGUCAAGGAACGGAGAAAAGAAAUAAGGACACUUCUCAAUGUAGAACCUGGCUUUAGCUCAAAUCAUCAUGAAGUUUAUCUGUUCCCCAGUAUCUCUAGACAUUGAUUCAAAGGGCAGAGUACAAUAAAGGAAUUAGGCUAAGCUAGGCUAGCAGGAAAUGACAAUACAGUCCCGAUUCUCCUCCCUGGUUUGAGAUACCAUCUAACAUUCACUGCAAGUUUUCAUCUUAAAACUGAAGCAAGUCAGCCAGGGCCAAUAUACAAGGGGUUGUGCAACAGUGUUGUAAAUCCAUGAUCUCUGAGCCUGUAUGUGAAGGAAAGUGUUACAAGAAUUGUAAGAAGGCUUUGGGACAUAGCAGGUCUGCACAAGAAAAGGGUUAAAUAAGAAGCUCUGUAUCUCACUAGAAAACAUGGCUACUUUUUCAGCCAUUGUUUUGUAGGAUCUGAAUGCCUGAAUACCAAUUUCCCUUGUCUUUUUGAUGGAGGAGCAAUGUAUCUCCACCAGCCACCUCCCACUUCACUAUCAACACAGCACAAAAUGGGCAAAUACACUAACAAAAAUGAACUAUCCAGUGUCUCCAAAGAAGUUUGCUGAGCAUUAUAAAGCAAAGCAGAUUCUGUCUGCCAGCCAGCUGUAAGGCUUUCCCCUACAGGUUCUUCUAUUAGAAAGGACAUCAGUUACUUAUUUCUCUGAAACUGGCUACAUCAUGGCAGAUGCUGUAUGUAGCACCACCUCCUCCUGGAUGGGUCCUGAACACCUCCUCUGAGCACUCUUCAUAGAAAUUCAGUGUAUUCUGGGCACAGGGUCAUUCAUCUGAAUUCUUGUUUUGUUAUGGUAUCUUGUUCUGGUCCCUCCAGAAAAGAGGCCCUGUCUUGAAGACCUGAACACUUCUGAAGAUGGGAGGUGCUACUAAAUAAGGGAGAUUGCAGAGGCAAACUUUGUCAUGUUGGAUGAUGGCAGGAAGCUUCACACUGAGGGGUCUGGGGACAGCAGUUUGAAAAGGUCUUCAGCUUUUUAGGAAAUUCUAUCGUGGUUGACAGAGACAUGAGCCACGCUGACCCACAGGGUUUCCACAGAGGCCAUAAACAUAGUCAGCAAGAUCCUUCACAGAUACCAGAUUUGUCCCCAGUAAAUCUGAGCUGCCAGAGUUCAGAUAAAGAGAAAGUUGUCCUUGGGGCAGUACAUAGAGGUAUGCAAAGAUAUGCUCAGAUAGCCGAGCAGCUUUCCAGUGUCCCAUUUGUUAGAAUAAUGCAACAAGACAGAUCAUGUAACAUGAAAAUCUUAUCUAACUCCCCCUGCACACAACCUGACCUAGAGCUACAAAGAGGUCCAGUGUAGGCAGCUGAGAAACCACAGUGUUUGCACUGAGAUCUUGCAGUCCCCCAGUGCAGGAAGCCAUGGCAUUGCAACAGAUUAUCUGUGAUUCCCAGUUUUUGCAGGCACAAGAGGUCAGUGCCACAGCGCCUGCAGGGAAUGUGACUUUUCAGCUGUCUUGCUCUCCCCAGUACUCUUUGACCUUUGUGCAAUCUGAUAUCAAAGAACCAAUUAUUCUCAACACUCAUAUAUUUUCUUCCAUAGACUCAAUGGCACAUGGUUGCCGGGGGCAAGACAUCAUGCUAAUCAAGGCAAUAAUUCAAGGGAAGGCAGUGGGGGGCUGGCAUGAUCAGGAGCUCUGGGUUCUACGUCUGCCUCUCAGUCAUGAAUAAGGACUCAGUCAUGCCUGCUCCUUCUUUCUCUCUCCCCCUAGUCCUCCCCCUAGUCCUCUCCUGAUGUAAGUUAUGGAGGAAUCAAAGGUGAUACCCCAGAGUACAACACUUGUUAUAGUCAGUUUCCCUACCACCCAUGAGUAUCCUCUUGAUAGAAGCACCACUGUCCAGUUCUUAUUUCUCUUUCCAAUCCUCAGCAUUCAGAAUUACCUAUCCUCUAUCCUUUUAGCUGCGUCAACUGGAGCCACUGGAAGAGCGACACUAGGAAAGGAACACUGCUUUGGUGGGAUGAGGGAGAAAAGGGGAGGCUGCAAUUCUACAAGACAAAUCCAUGCAAGCAUCCCACUGCCCAUCCAGUACCUGCAGCCUGCUUUGACCUCACCAGCCACCACCACAUACUGUGAGCUCUCAGCAGCAGGAUUAAUGAAAGAUCAAAGGCCCUUCAGGCAAGGAUCUUGCUUCCAAUAGCAGUCAUAAGGAGCUGCCCAUCAUUUUUUCCACCAAUAAAAUUGAGUUAAUAUGUAAGAAAAUUCAUUACAUGUUGCAAAGUACUGACAACUUGGUUAACCAGAACCACCAAAAUCCUGAAGCUAAAGAGUGAAUGCAUUUCCCAUUUGCUCUGAGGGUCAGCCCAAUCUCAGGUUGUCUUAACAUAUCUAUCCCGAGUUAUAUCUGAGCCCAAAUAGAUUAGAUAUGAAGUUUAAAGUAACUCAGAGACCCACUCUCCAGGGCUAAUAUUGUACCUCAACAUGACCUCAGAGAGGUUUUGAGGAGGCAAACCCACCUUGUCAGCUCCUAGAAGGAGAACAUUUUACAGAUAUUUUAUAUGUUUUAGUAGUGUUGACUAUUCUGUCACUAAAUCUCAGGGGCUUUUUCAGUGGCAAGUGUAGAGUGCUGAGUGAGUGUGCUGGAAAUUCAUUCAUCCCCUGCAGACAGGUGGGGUUAAUUCAGACUAGCACAAAUCUAACUGGGGGAUGAAGGGUGGAGGGUGAAUAAACACGUGGAAGAAAUAGAAAUUUACUGCACAGUUAAACUAGAUAGGUAGGACUAUGCUUCGGUAUAAUUUCUUUUCCUGUAAUUGUUUCAGAUUUCUUUUUUGCAAGCUAAAAAGAAAAAAUACAAAGGACCUACAAGCUUCAGAUCCCAAUUGAACUGCAUGGAGGUGGCGGCUGCUCUUUAAAAGAGCUCAGGGUUAUUUGGUGUCACAUCCUGGACUGAAAAUCAGCUGAAAUUUAACCGUAAUCACUAUUGGUUAUUGGCUCAGUUCAGUGUACAAGAAUAAAUAUAGAAGAGUCUGAAAAUACUCAAAUCUUCUCAAGGAAGAGAAGUCUGAGGCAGGGAUGGUUUGGCUAAGAAAAAAACUUCUUAUUUCAG